rnacentral:rRNA from 1 species
GGGGAAUAUUGGACAAUGGGCGCAAGCCUGAUCCAGCCAUGCCGCGUGGGUGAAGAAGGCCUUCGGGUUGUAAAGCCCUUUUGUUGGGAAAGAAAAGCAGCCGGCCAAUACCCGGUUGUUCUGACGGUACCCAAAGAAUAAGCACCGGCUAACUUCGUGCCAGCAGCCGCGGUAAUACGUAGGGUGCAAGCGUUAAUCGGAAUUACUGGGCGUAAAGCGUGCGCAGGCGGUUUUGUAAGACAGUGGUGAAAGCCCCGGGCUCAACCUGGGAACUGCAGGGGAUACUGGAUCACUAGAGUGUGGCAGAGGGUAGUGGAAUUCCCGGUGUAGCAGUGAAAUGCGUAGAGAUCGGGAGGAACAUCAGUGGCGAAGGCGACUGCCUGGGCCAACACUGACACUGAGGCACGAAAGCGUGGGGAGCAAACA